rnacentral:rRNA from 1 species
GGAGUCUGGGCCGUAUCUCAGUCCCAAUGUGGCCGUUCAACCUCUCAGUCCGGCUACUGAUCGUCGCCUUGGUGGGCCGUUGCCCCGCCAACCAGCUAAUCAGAUAUGAGCCCAUCUUUCAGCGGAUUGCUCCUUUGGUAUCCAAGUGAUGCCACCCAAAUACAUUAUGCGGUAUUAGCAGCCGUUUCCAACUGUUAUCCCCCUGUGUAGGGCAGGUUUCCCACGCGUUACUCACCCGUCCGCCACUCAGUCACAAACAUCUUCAUCCCGAAGGAAUCUGUCGUAAGUGCUUCGUUCGACUUGCAUGUGUUAAGCACGCCGCCAGCGUUCAUC